AAAACUUUUUGGCUAAGAUCAAGUAUAGUAUCAGUUCUUAUCAGUUUAAUAUCUGAUACGUCCCUCCAUAUAUUACAUUGAAUUUUUGGAACAAGGAGACGGAAUAGGGUGUAACCACAAGGGGGCACCAGUGAGCCCUAAACCACAGACACAAUGUCACCAAUCACAAUACUGGGCUCAAAUAAAA
ensembl:snRNA U2 U2 spliceosomal RNA